GACGAACGCUGGCGGCGUGCCUAAUACAUGCAAGUAGGACGCAGUUGCGAACGGGAGAGUAACGCGUAGGUAACUACCUAUUAGAGGGGGAUAACUAUUGGAAACGAUAGCUAAUACCGCAUACUAGUAGAUGGAUCUGCGUUGUAUUAGCUAGUAGGUAGGGUAAUGGCCUAACUAGGCAACGAUACAUAGCCGACCUGGGAAGGGUGACGACACCACUUGGAAUGGGGAACGGCCAAGACUCCAACGGGAGACAGCAGUUGGGAAUCUUCGGCAAUGGGGGGAACACUGACCGAACAACGCCGAGGGGGUUAAGAAAGUUUUCGGAUCGUAAAGCUCUGUUGUUAAGGAAGCGGUACUUAACCAGAAAGGGACGGCUAACUACGUGCCAGCAGCCGCGGUAAUAC
rnacentral:rRNA from 1 species